UAGUGAACUAUGUCGUUUGUGAUAAUUUUAACGAUCACUUCAUAUGUUGUUAAAACAAGUUUCAUUCGUUGUUUGGUAUUAGUGUAGGUCGUAAUAACAGCUUAAAUAUCCGUUUAAAAUUUAAAAAUCUAAUAUAAUAUUUUAAACAACCAAUGCAUGACAUGCUUAAUUUAUCAAAUUGUUGGACAAAAUUCAAUUUGAACAAUGCAAAAAUUAUCUCAGUAAUCCUCAAACUACAAAAUUCAUGUUUUUAUAUUUACAUGAUUGAGUUAAUACGCGGUAAUGUCAUGUUAUGAAAUGAUAAGUAAGUACCUAAUAUAAUUUGACAAAAAAAAGAACAAUUUGGACAAACUAACCAAAAACUGUUUCGUAUAUGGAUUAGCUGUUUGUAAGUUAUGCAAAUAACGUCAAUAAUGUAAUUGAGCGGAACGCCUACACAGGUACAACAACUAGUCACUUAAAAUAAUUGGGAGACGUGUAAAUAAGAAUUCGUAUUAGAGUAAUACCAAGUAAAUACAGAAUAGAACAGAUCUAACUGACAACUCAUAUAAUUUAUGAUCUACAUCAAAUUUUAUACUUUUUUUUUUUUUUUUUAAUCAAUUUUUACAAUACAGAAUAUAUUGUAUAUACAAUAUAGCCAUUUAUAGAUAAGUUUUAAAGAAAAAUGUUGAUACCAAAAACUCUUAUUUUAAUACAGUAGUUUAUACAACAUUUUGAAAUUUGUUAAAUUUUGAUUAUUUUUUACAAUUAUAAGUACGCGAUUUCUUUUCUAUGGAUUAUAAUAACGUUUAACGCACUUUAUACUGAAAUCAUUAUCUCUAAUCUUUAUAUCGAAAGUUAGAAACAUUAUCGUAUGUCAACUACAGGUGUUCAUGGUUAACCAAGUUAAAAGUGAUAACAAUUAUUAAUUUGCGUGAUUUUAUCAUUGUAAUCAUAUUAUUAUAGAAUAUUCCUUGUUUGGAACUUGGAUAAUAAAAUGCACUAAUUCACUAUGAUUCACGUUUAAAUUUAUGAUAUAUGAUCUUAUUUAAUUAAAAACUCAACAUGUUUUAGACAAUGUUUCUAUAAUUUGUUUUAAUAAUCUUAACUAUACUACUACUUGUUUUUGCAUGUCAACUACAAAUGCUUAUUCAAAUAUUAAUAAUUUUCAUGGAAAAGACAUCGCGUACUGUUAUUAUUAAAUAACAUACUAAGUGUUUACUUCUGUAGUUUACAUAAUAUGGACUAAUAUUUGAUACCAUAGGAAAAUUGUAAAAAAAAAAAUCAAAAUUUAAGAAAUUUAAAA